AGUGAACGCUGGCGGUAGGCCUAACACAUGCAAGUCGAACGGCAGCACAGGAGAGCUUGCUCUCUGGGUGGCGAGUGGCGGACGGGUGAGGAAUGCAUCGGAAUCUACUCUUUCGUGGGGGAUAACGUAGGGAAACUUACGCUAAUACCGCAUACGACCUACGGGUGAAAGCCGGGGACCUUCGGGCCUGGCGCGAAUGAAUGAGCCGAUGCCCGAUUAGCUAGUUGGCGGGGUAAGAGCCCACCAAGGCGACGAUCGGUAGCUGGUCUGAGAGGAUGAUCAGCCACACUGGAACUGAGACACGGUCCAGACUCCUACGGGAGGCAGCAGUGGGGAAUAUUGGACAAUGGGCGCAAGCCUGAUCCAGCCAUACCGCGUGGGUGAAGAAGGCCUUCGGGUUGUAAAGCCCUUUUGUUGGGAAAGAAAAGCAAUCGGUUAAUACCCGGUUGUUCUGAUGGUACCCAAAGAAUAAGCACCGGCUAACUUCGUGCCAGCCGCCGCCGUAAGAC
rnacentral:rRNA from 1 species